UAUUUAUUAGAUAAAAAACCAAUGCCCUUCGGGGCUCCUUGGUGAAUCAUAAUAACUUAACGAAUCGCAUGGCCUUGCGCCGGCGAUGGUUCAUUCAAAUUUCUGCCCUAUCAACUUUCGAUGGUAGGAUAGUGGCCUACCAUGGUAUCAACGGGUAACGGGGAAUUAGGGUUCGACUCCGGAGAGGGAGCCUGAGAAACGGCUACCACAUCCAAGGAAGGCAGCAGGCGCGCAAAUUACCCAAUCCCGAUACGGGGAGGUAGUGACAAUAAAUACUGAUACAGGGCUCUUUUGGGUCUUGUAAUUGGAAUGAGUACAAUUUAAAUCCCUUAACGAGGAACAAUUGGAGGGCAAGUCUGGUGCCAGCAGCCGCGGUAAUUCCAGCUCCAAUAGCGUAUAUUAAAGUUGUUGCAGUUAAAAAGCUCGUAGUUGAACCUUGGGCCUGGCUGGCCGGUCCGCCUCACCGCGUGUACUGGUCCGGCCGGGCCUUUCCUUCUGGGGAACCUCAUGCCCUUCACUGGGCGUGUUGGGGAACCAGGACUUUUACUUUGAAAAAAUUAGAGUGUUCAAAGCAGG
rnacentral:rRNA from 1 species